rnacentral:rRNA from 1 species
AGCCAUAGCAGCCUGGGGAAACCUUAGCCUGGAAGCUAAGCAGGGUUGUACUUGAUUAAGGCUUGGAUGGGGGACCACCUGAAGUCACUGGUGGCU